rfam:Wallemia ichthyophaga EXF-994 unplaced genomic scaffold scaffold8, whole genome shotgun sequence.
GCCUUGCUAGCUCAAUCGGUAGAGCGUGUGACUCUUAAUCACAAGGCUGCGGGUUCGAGCCCCGCGUGGGGCU